UACGUAGGGGGCUAGCGUUGUCCGGAAUCAUUGGGCGUAAAGAGCGUGUAGGCGGUCCGGUAAGUCCGCUGUGAAAGUCGGGGGCUCAACCCUCGAAUGCCGGUGGAUACUGUCGGGCUAGAGUGCGGAAGAGGCGAGUGGAAUUCCUGGUGUAGCGGUGAAAUGCGCAGAUAUCAGGAGGAACACCUAUUGCGAAGGCAGCUCGCUGGGACGUAACUGACGCUGAGACGCGAAGGCGUGGGGAGCAAACAGG
rnacentral:rRNA from 1 species